CCAAGGGCAACAUAACUUCAACUGUAUUAAUACCCCACCUAGCCAUGGGCCCACUAAACAAUCUCCAUUAAUCUCUACAGUCCAUUGUUGGAAGCUUAUUCCAAUUCUCUACCAGUAGCCACAGGUCUUGUAUGUUUCUCCCAGGCUGCUUAUCUCUAAUCAUAAUGGCCUAAUACAGGGAUAUCCUCUUUUCCAAACUUUCCUAACACCAAAGUGUUCUACCACCAGCAACCCCACGAUGCAGAUACAGCCACUGUUGUUCAAGCCUGAAAGGGACCAAUGCAAAGGUUAAGUAUUUCCAUUUUCUACCCAGAAGAGAUUAUGUAAACACGGUCUUUAAAUGUAUAUAGAUUGUAAUGGAGUUUAUGUUGAAACAGCUGUUAACACAUGUAAGGUGAUGAAAAAAAUACAAAUGAAACUCAAAUUAGGUUGGAGAUUUGCUAGGCAUAAGAGCCGUAAGACUGCCAAGAUAAAGCUCAUGAGGAGUGAGAAGAAGGGGUGAGAAUAACUGGGGAAGGUUUCACAGUGGGAGUAAGACCCUGGAAGACACGCACUAUUUGGGCAGAUGAAGAAGGUAUUCCAGAUGUAGGCAGCAGCAUGAACAAAUCCCCAGAGGUAGGAAUGAGCACAGCAUGUGGAAAGGUCAGUGAAGGCACAGCCACGGCUGAAGCAGAACAGGAUCCCUGGAGAAGAACAGGAGGUAUGGCUGGAGAGGGGCACUGGGGACUGACCAGGGAUGGCCCAAGGACCUUGACUGGCUUCUUCUCCACAGGGUGCAAUUUCUGAUGCUGAACAAAACUUCCAUACCAUUUGAAGGCUUUCCCACACACCUUACAUUCAUAAGGCUUCUCCCCAGUGUGAACUCUCUGAUGCUGAAUGGAGGCUAUUUUCUGGGUGAAGGCUUUGCCACACUCCUUACAUUGAUAAGGUUUCUCCCCAGUAUGAAUUCUCUGAUGGACAAUAAAAAGUGACCUACAACCGAAAGCUUUCCAACAUUCCUUACAUUUAUAGAGUUUCUCUCCCGUGUGUAAUCUCUGAUGCUGCAGGUAUGCCGCACUCCUACGGAAAGCCUUUCCACACUCUUUACAUUCAUAGGGUUUCUCUCCAGUGUGGAUCCUCUGAUGUUGAGUCAAGGCUGUGUUGGAACUCAAACCUUUGCCACACUCCUUACAUUCAUAGGGCCCUUCUCCAAUGUGGUUUUUCUCAUGUACAAUACAAUCAUAGCUGGACUUGAAAGCUUUGCCACACUCCUUACACUUAAAGGGCUUUUCCCCAGUAUGACUCAUCUGAUGCCGAAUAAGCUUUGAGUUAUAUCGGAAGAUUUUCCCACAUUCUUUACAUUCAUAGAACUUCAUUCCACCUCGAAGUAUCAGAUUUGGAUUUAGAUUGAAAGUCUGCUUCAGUGCCUUCCUUUUAAAAUCAAAGUGCUGAGAAACGUUCCUGAGAAGUCCUCCUACUGGCAUUCUGCGCAACUCUGUUUCUUCAGAGGCUUCCUGCUUUAUAACUAGCCCUUCAUUUUUG
rnacentral:lncRNA from 1 species